rnacentral:sRNA from 1 species
CUCCCUUGUUUCUAUAAUUCUCUGUCGCAAAUGCAUGUUAUUUCUGCUGUUGUUAUCACAGCUAAAGAGUUUCUUGCCCAGCCUGAAUGAAUUGUGUCUGAAUCCUGAAACUAGGACCCAGGUCAUAGAGACCAGGAGCUGCCAGAAAAGGAAAUAUUAUUUCUUAUUAUCAUCAUAACCAGUGUCAUCAUCAUCAACACUCACUGAGCCUUCACCAGGUUCCAGGCUCUGUGCUAAAUGUUUAAUAGGCAACAUCUCAUUUAAUUAUUAAGAUAAACCUGUGAGGAUAAAUUUUAAGCUAUUGUAUCCCCUAUUUGCGGAAAAGAAACUGAGGUUUAGAGAAAUGAAGUAACUAGCUUGCAGACACACAGCUAGCCAGGGUAAAGCCAGGUUGAAGCAUGGUCCUCUCUAACUCUUCACAUUAGUCUGAUACGUGAUGACAUUUUCUCAUCCAUUGUGGCCACUUUUUAACACAACAUUUUAGUUUUUAGUAAUUUGUUAUUCUGAAAGAACACAUGAAUGUUUGUGAUGAAAAAAAUCAAAUAAUACAAAAGGGCCAAUAUUGAAAAGUAAAGGUCUCUUUCUACCUGCUCAUAUCACUUCUUACGCACAUAUUCUCCAGACAUAAUCACUGUUAAUUGUUUCAUGUGUAUGCUUCUAGAAAUAAUCUACAAACCUAAAGGUAUACAAUUUUUAGAAAGCUAGAAUAAUAUUACACAUAUAGUUAUGCCAGUUGCAUUUUUUAACUUAAAAUACAUCCUGACUUUUGUUUAAGAAAUGCAUCUUGGAUAUCAUUCAUGUUUCAUUACCCAAUCCAGUAGGUUGUCUCUAAUUUUUAGCUCUUGUAAAAAUGCUACAAUAGAAAUUCUUGUAGAAAUAUAUUGGCAUAUUUUAUGUCAGUAUCCCUAAAGGAGAUGGCCCUAGAAGUAGGACUUGAACUCCUGGGCUCAAGUAAUCCUCCUGCCUCAUACUCCCAAAUCGCUGGGAUUACAGGUGUGAGCCACUACACCUGGCCCACUAGAAGCAGAUUUGUUGGGUCAAAGUUUAUGUGCACUUUAAAUUUUGUAGAUAUUGCCAAGUUGCCAUUCAAGGAAGUGUGUUAAAUUUGUAUUAACACCAAGGGCAUAUGUAGGUGCCUGUUUGUCUACAAGCUAAUCAGUAUGAUCAGUCUAUUUAAGCUUUGCCAACCUGAAAAAUAGAAAAAAGAAUAGUAUUGUAUGGUUGUCUUUGUGUUUAGUUAAUUAGUGAUGAAGAUGAGAAUCUUUUUAUAUAUUUAUUGUCUAUUUGAAGUUUUCAGUGAUUUAUACACUUUUUACAGUUUUCUAUUGGAUAUUUUUGUACCCUGAAAACUAUUAGCAGGUCAAAGUAAUUAGCUUUAUCAUCUAUGUUUUAAUCUACUUUCCAAGAUUGAGAUAUGACUUUUUACAUUUGUUUAUGAUACCUUUUGUUUCGUACAAAUAUGUUAGAAGCAGAAACUGCUGUUGACUUUUUGUUCUCUUUCAGUUCCGGUGUCUCGCCCCGUCCUCACCCUCAGGGCUCCCGGGGCCCAUACUGCGGUGGGGGACCUGCUGGAGCUUCACUGUGAGGCCCUGAGAGGCUCUCCCCUGAUCCUGUACCGGUUUUUUCAUGAGGAUGUCACCCUAGGAAAUAGCUCGUCCCCCUCUGGAGGAGCGUCCUUCAACCUCUCUCUGACUGCAGAACACUCUGGAAACUACUCCUGUGAGGCCGACAAUGGCCUCGGGGCCCAGCGCAGUGAGACAGUGACACUUUAUAUCACUGGGUCUCCCCCUCAGGGCUGACCGCGAACAGAAGUGGCCCUUUUGCCACAGGAGUCGCCGGGGGCCUGCUCAGCAUAGCAGGCCUUGCUGCGGGGGCACUGCUGCUCUACUGCUGGCUCUCGAGAAAAGCAGGGAGAAAGCCUGCCUCUGACCCCGCCAGGAGCCCUUCAGACUCGGACUCCCAAGAGCCCACCUAUCACAAUGUACCAGCCUGGGAAGAGCUGCAACCAGUGUACACUAAUGCAAAUCCUAGAGGAGAAAAUGUGGUUUACUCAGAAGUACGGAUCAUCCAAGAGAAAAAGAAACAUGCAGUGGCCUCUGACCCCAGGCAUCUCAGGAACAAGGUGAGUCUCCCCUUCUGCAUGCCCUCCCGCACCCCCAGGCCCACCCUGGUCCUCACGCAUGUGCUCUUGCCUCCUAGGGUUCCCCUAUCAUCUACUCUGAAGUUAAGGUGGCAUCAACCCCGGUUUCCGGAUCCCUGUUCUUGGCUUCCUCAGCUCCUCACAGAUGAGUCCAUACGUCUCUCCAACUGCUGUUUCAGCCUCUGCACCCCAAAGUUCCCCUUGGGGGAGAAGCAGCAUUGAAGUGGGAAGAUUUAGGCUGCCCCAGACCAUAUCUACUGGCCUUUGUUUCACAUGUCCUCAUUCUCAGUCUGACCAGAAUGCAGGGCCCUGCUGGACUGUCACCUAUUUCCCAGUUACAGCCCAGACUGGCAGGUUUUUUAAUCCAGUGGCAAGGUGCUCCCACUCCAGGGCCCAGCACAUCUCCUGGAUUCCUUAGUGGGCUUCAGCUGUGGUUGCUAUUCUGAGUACUGCUCUCAUCACACCCCCACAGAGGGGGUCUUACCACACAAAGGGAGAAUGGGCCUUCAGGAGAUGCUGGGCUGGCCUAACAGCUCAGGUGCUCCUAAACUCCGACACAGAGUUCCUGCUUUGGGUGGAUGCAUUUCUCAAUUGUCAUCAGCCUGGUGGGGUUACUGCAGUGUGCUGCCAAAUGGGACAGCACACAGCCUGUGCACAUGGGACAUGUAAUGGGUCUCCCCACGGGGGCUGUAUUUCACACUCCUCCACCUGUCUCAAACUCUAAGGUCGGCACUUGACACCAAGGUAACUUCUCUCCUGCUCAUGUGUCAGUGUCUACCUGCCCAAGUAAGUGGCUUUCAUACACCAAGUCCCAAGUACUUCCCAUCCUAACAGAAGUAACCCAGCAAGUCAAGGCCAGGAGGACCAGGGGUGCAGACAGAACACAUACUGGAACACAGGAGGUGCUCAAUUACUAUUUGACUGACUGAAUGAAUGAAUGAAUGAAUGAGGAAGAAAACUGUGGGUAAUCAAACUGGCAUAAAAUCCAGUGCGCUCCCUAGGAAAUCCGGGAGGUAUUCUGGCUUCCCUAAGAAACAAUGGAAGAGAAGGAACUUGGAUGAGGAAACUGUUCAGCAAGAGGAAGGGCUUCUCACACUUUCGUGUGUUUGUGGAUCACCUGAGGAUCCUGUGAAAAUACAGAUACUGAUUCAGUGGGUCUGUGUAGAGCCUGAGACUGCCAUUCUAACAUGUUCCCAGGGGAUGCUGAUGCUGCUGGUCCUGGGACCGCACUGCAUGCAUGUGAGGCCCUGUAGGUCUCAGCAGAGGCCCAUGGAGAGGCAAUGUGUGGCUCUGGCUGCCCAGGGCCCAACUCGGUUCACACGGAUCGUGCUGCUCCCUGGCCAGCCUUUGGCCACAGCACCACCAGCUGCUGUUGCUGAGAGAGCUUCUUCUCUGUGACAUGUUGGCUUUCAUCAGCCACCCUGGGAAGCGGAAAGUAGCUGCCACUAUCUUUGUUUCCCCACCUCAGGCCUCACACUUUCCCAUGAAAAGGGUGAAUGUAUAUAACCUGAGCCCUCUCCAUUCAGAGUUGUUCUCCCAUCUCUGAGCAAUGGGAUGUUCUGUUCCGCUUUUAUGAUAUCCAUCACAUCUUAUCUUGAUCUUUGCUCCCAGUGGAUUGUACAGUGAUGACUUUUAAGCCCCACGGCCCUGAAAUAAAAUCCUUCCAAGGGCAUUGGAAGCUCACUCCACCUGCCACAUGGCUUUUCAUGCUUCCAAGUGUCAGGGCCUUGCCCAGAUAGACAGGGCUGGCUCUGCUGCCCCAACCUUUCAAGGAGGAAACCAGACACCUGAGACAGGAGCCUGUAUGCAGCCCAGUGCAGCCUUGCAGAGCACAAGGCUGGAGGCAUUUGUCAUCACUACAGAUAUGCAACUAAAAUAGACGUGGAGCAAGAGAAAUGCAUUCCCACCGAGGCCGCUUUUUUAGGCCUAGUUGAAAGUCAAGAAGGACAGCAGCAAGCAUAGGCUCAGGAUUAAAGAAAAAAAUCUGCUCACAGUCUGUUCUGGAGGUCACAUCACCAACAAAGCUCACGCCCUAUGCAGUUCUGAGAAGGUGGAGGCACCAGGCUCAAAAGAGGAAAUUUAGAAUUUCUCAUUGGGAGAGUAAGGUCCCCCCGUCCCAGAAUGAUAACGGCACAGUGGCAGAACAAACUCCACCCUAACGUGGGUGGACCUCGUCCAGUCUGUUGAAGGCCUGAAUAUAACAAAAGGGCUUAUUCUUCCUCAAGUAAGGGGGAACUCCUGCUUUGGGCUGGGACAUAAGUUUUUCUGCUUUCAGACGCAAACUGAAAAAUGGCUCUUCUUGGGUCUUGAGCUUGCUGGCAUAUGGACUGAAAGAAACUACGCUAUUGGAUCUCCUGGAUCUCCAGCUUGCUGACUGCAGAUCUUGAGAUAUGUCAGCCUCUACAGUCACAAGAGCUAAUUCAUUCUAAUAAACCAAUCUCUCUGU